CCGGCCGCGAGAUUCGCCCUUAGAGUUUGAUCCUGGCUCAGGAUGAACGCUGGCGGCGUGCUUAACACAUGCAAGUCGAACGGAGCGGCUUUGAUGGAGGAUUCGUCCAACAGAGGAGCUUGCUUAGUGGCGGACGGGUGAGUAACGCGUGAGGAACCUGCCUUGGAGUGGGGAAUAACAGUUAGAAAUGACUGCUAAUACCGCAUGAUGCAGUUGAGUCGCAUGGCUCUGACUGCCAAAGAUUUAUCGCUCUAAGAUGGCCUCGCGUCUGAUUAGCUAGUUGGUGGGGUAACGGCCCACCAAGGCGACGAUCAGUAGCCGGACUGAGAGGUUGGCCGGCCACAUUGGGACUGAGACACGGCCCAGACUCCUACGGGAGGCAGCAGUGGGGAAUAUUGGGCAAUGGGCGCAAGCCUGACCCAGCAACGCCGCGUGAAGGAAGAAGGCUUUCGGGUUGUAAACUUCUUUUGUCAGGGACGAAUAAAUGACGGUACCUGACGAAUAAGCCACGGCUAACUACGUGCCAGCAGCCGCGGUAAUACGUAGGUGGCAAGCGUUAUCCGGAUUUACUGGGUGUAAAGGGCGUGUAGGCGGGACUGCAAGUCAGAUGUGAAAACCAUGGGCUCAACCUGUGGCCUGCAUUUGAAACUGUAGUUCUUGAGUGUCGGAGAGGUAAUCGGAAUUCCUAGUGUAGCGGUGAAAUGCGUAGAUAUUAGGAGGAACACCAGUGGCGAAGGCGGAUUACUGGACGAUAACUGACGCUGAGGCGCGAAAGCGUGGGGAGCAAACAGGAUUAGAUACCCUGGUAGUCCACGCUGUAAACGAUGGAUACUAGGUGUGGGGGGUCUGACCCCCUCCGUGCCGCAGUUAACACAAUAAGUAUCCCACCUGGGGAGUACGAUCGCAAGGUUGAAACUCAAAGGAAUUGACGGGGGCCCGCACACGCGGUGGAGUAUGUGGUUUAAUUCAAAGCAACGCGAAGAACCUUACCAGGGCUUGACAUCCCGGCGACCGGCCUAGAGAUAGGCCUUCUCUUCGGAGCGCCGGUGACAGGUGGUGCAUGGUUGUCGUCACCUCUC
rnacentral:rRNA from 1 species